UUGUGGGCCAACGAAAGAGUGAUGAAAUCCCUUCCCUUAUCUUGUGAGUGGGUUUUGCCCUUAAGAUUUAUUUAAAAUGAUGCACCACACAACAAGAUAAUUAAAGCGAUAAACAACUAUGGAUGCUUAAACUACGUGUCCUAAUCUAGAGAAAAGAAAGAAAUUAACGCACCUUAGGGUCCUCCAGCGAUCACCACAAAUAGGUACGAAAAUUUAAAAACAAAAAUUAAAAUCUAAAUGAUGUGCCCUAAGUGUAAAAAUGCAUGAUGCAACACAUAUGUAGUUCUAACUAAUAUUUUUGGAUUUUAAUUAAUUUUUUUUUUGUGAUUUUCAAUUUUCAAAUUUGUUUGUGGUUUUCUAAAUAAAAACGAAAAAUAAGAGUGGAGAGAUACGGGAUACCAAAGCAAGCUUCCAAAUCCGAGCAAAAUUUGUCCACUUUACUCCAUGAUUCCCGAAUAAUCCUCCUCGAAAUAAAAACAAAAAUAGUGAGAAACAAACUAAUCCGAAAGAUUAAAAAUAAAGGAGCGAAAAAUUAAUUUUAAUCCCCGGCAGCGGCGCCAAAAACUUGAUGUGCUAGAAAUAUUAACUUAUUAAUCGCAAGCGCACGAUCACUGUUUUAAUAUUUAAGAUUCGUCCACAGGGAUUAAAAUUAUUUUUCGAAAACCUUAAUUUCUAAUCUAGGCGAAUUAGAACAAUUAAGUUGAUGGAGAGGGUAUAUAUUUUUUUAAAAAGAAAACUAAUCUUUAACAUUAAGUGAGAGUCUAAUUUAAUCAACCAAAAUCAAUAAGCCAAAAUUAGAUUAUAAAAUUAAACUUAAUUAAAAGAGCAAGCACUUUAAAUACUCUAAACCUGGUUCCAUGACUCGGUUAAAUGGUUUAGAAAACUCGUAAACAUUGACUCGGAAAAUCAAAGCAAUAAACUGAAAAAUGAAGCAACAAAAAGACAACAGCUCGACUAUGAAAUAAGACUCAGCAGAACUCUAACUAGGAAACUACACAACUCGGCUGAACUACGACUAAUGCUAGACUAAAAUCGAACGACUCAGCUUCAAUCGACAAAUCAAACAAACGACUAUGCAAACACUGGACACGGAACAGCUGCUCGGAAUUAACAGAGUACACAGAACUUAAAACAAAUCUCAGACAAGCAACUCGAAACAAAACCCAGAUGUCGACUCAAUCGCAGGACACUAAAUCAACCCCAACUCGGUGAUAAACUCGGUACAAAACAAAGAAACUGACUCGGAGAUGAAAACAGCAACUCGCCACACAACUUUUAACCAUAACUCAAAGCAAACAGACUCAUGAUAUCAGCAACUCAAACUCGUAAAUCGAACUCAAGAACAACUCGGCACAGCAGCUAAACAAACCCAUCGACUCGAUUAAAAGAAACAAAAUCAAAAACAACAAAACUCUAACUCCUGGACUCAGAACUCAGCAAGCAUAACUCGGUAAACUCGGACGACGUGACUCGUAAUUGACUCGGUAAAAACAGGCAAAGCAACAACGGAACUCUGUAUUGUGACUCGCAAAAAGGAAGAAAAACAAAGCAGGGGGUUUUGUGUUUAAUCGAAAACAAACUCAAGAAAUGGGUUCGUAUAAAGUGAGAAACAGGGGAGAGGGGGUUCAGUAGUUAAAACAGAGCAUAACAUUUUAAUAUUGAAAACAGAGUAAAUAAAUGGGCUGCUAAACGAGGGUUUUAAAACUAAUUUUAUAUAAACUAAAAUAAUUUUGGAUUUUCAAGAUUUAACCCCCACACAAAUCACUUUUGUGCUAGAGUUCAAGCUUUUCCAAAAUUAACUCUAAAUAUAAAGAGAGCUACAACUAAUUAAUGGCUCCUUCCAAUCUACAAACAAUUUUGAACUUUGUAGUUAGAGGAAGAUUUCAUAGCCAAAGAAAACAUAAAGAACAAGAAUGUAAGAACAAAAGAUAAAAUCUUGCAUUAAAAUAUGAAAGUGUUUACAAAAAUGGUAUGAAAUUGAGAGAACAAAAGAAGAUCUACCACUAUACUACCUACCAACUAGAAAAAACUAGGUUAAAAAGAUUAUCCUCACAAGUAAAGGGGGUGGGGGUAUUUAUAGCUAGAAAUGUAGGGUUUAGGGGUAGGGUGGCUAAAUCUAAUCCAUCCAUUUGUGAUGUGUGUUGGGUAAAUCAUAGCCAUCCAUGUGCCCCCUUGCUUGCCAACUCUCUUUGAUUUUCUUCUUUUCUUUUCUUUUUCUCCCUUUUUCUUGCAUUUUCUCUUCUUUCUUUAUUUAUCUACAAUUUCCUGAAAUAAAAUAAAUAAGCAAUUAAUACUACGAAAAUAAACAAAAAAUAGGUACUUAAAUAUGCAAAAAUAUGGACUAAUCA
rnacentral:lncRNA from 1 species